CUUGAAAUAUUAAAUUAUUUUAUACAAAGGUAGAUCAAUAUAAUUAAUUUAAUUAAAUACUCCUUAUUGUAGUAAAUACUGAGGUUAAUAAAAAUAAUGAUUCAUCUUAACUAGUUGAAUGUUACACAAAAUAAAUUCUUAUAAAUAUUCUACAUUUAUAUUAUCACUCAUGAAUUCAAAAUUCUAAUUAUUGCUGUAAUUCUAAAAAACCUUAACAUAUGUGUGAUAUAUACCAAGGUGGCAAGAUGCCCUUGAACUGCACAUUGUAAUGACAAUUCAACGUCUCGACGACCGGUUCAACACUUGAUGCACUGACCAAGGCGUCAAUGUCUACAAGAAACGGAUACUUAAACAUUAAAGGUAAUUAUCAUACAGAAUACAUAGAUAAUGAGUACAAUUACAAUAUUAUUUUCAAUUUUUCAUCUCAAUAUUUUUUAAUAUAAUAUAUAUUGUGGAUUCGCCAGUGGGGUACCUAUUACGUAAUUGUGCAUUUGUGCGAAGCGGCCGUGGUGUGGCGGAUGAUCAAUCCCCACGAAUUAUGAAAAUAAUAAAUUAAAUAUUAAAAUAUUAUGCAAUAAUAAAAAAAUAAUGUUUUUAAUUUUUGAAGUGUAUGCUUUGUACGUAUAGCAUACGCGAGAGUGUAUCUAGUAUUAGUGUAUUACGGCCUAUUUUAGUAUUAUUAUUAGAUAUUUAGAUAUAAUAAGGAUCAUUAUAAACAUUCAAAAAACUGGAAUAGGUA